rnacentral:tRNA from 1 species
GCUCAGGUGGUGGAAUUGGCAGACACGCCAGACUUAGGAUCUGGUGCCGCAAGGCGUAAGGGUUCGAGUCCCUUUCUGAGCACCA